UACACCAAAAUGCACAGGUUGUGAACUCGAAGAGUAGGGCGGGACACGUGGUAUCCUGUCUGAAUAUGGGGGGACCAUCCUCCAAGGCUAAAUACUCCUGACUGACCGAUAGUGAACCAGUACCGUGAGGGAAAGGCGAAAAGAACCCCGGCGAGGGGAGUGAAAAAGAACCUGAAACCGUGUACGUACAAGCAGUGGGAGCACCUUCGGGUGUGACUGCGUACCUUUUGUAUAAUGGGUCAGCGACUUAUAUUCUGUAGCAAGGUUAACCGUAUAGGGGAGCCGCAGGGAAACCGAGUCUUAACUGGGCGUUAAGUUGCAGGGUAUAGACCCGAAACCCGGUGAUCUAGCCAUGGGCAGGUUGAAGGUUGGGUAACACUAACUGGAGGACCGAACCGACUAAUGUUGAAAAAUUAGCGGAUGACUUGUGGCUGGGGGUGAAAGGCCAAUCAAACCGGGAGAUAGCUGGUUCUCCCCGAAAGCUAUUUAGGUAGCGCCUCGUGAACUCAUCUUCGGGGGUAGAGCACUGUUUCGGCUAGGGGGUCAUCCCGACUUACCAACCCGAUGCAAACUACGAAUACCGAAGAAUGUUAUCACGGGAGACACACGGCGGGUGCUAACGUCCGUCGUGAAGAGGGAAACAACCCAGACCGCCAGCUAAGGUCCCAAAGUCAUGGUUAAGUGGGAAACGAUGUGGGAAGGCACAGACAGCCAGGAUGUUGGCUUAGAAGCAGCCAUCAUUUAAAGAAAGCGUAAUAGCUCACUGGUCGAGUCGGCCUGCGCGGAAGAUGUAACGGGGCUAAACCAUGCACCGAAGCUGCGGCAGCGACACUAUGUGUUGUUGGGUAGGGGAGCGUUCUGUAAGCCUGCGAAGGUGACCUGUGAGGGUUGCUGGAGGUAUCAGAAGUGCGAAUGCUGACAUAAGUAACGAUAAAGCGGGUGAAAAGCCCGCUCGCCGGAAGACCAAGGGUUCCUGUCCAACGUUAAUCGGGGCAGGGUGAGUCGACCCCUAAGGCGAGGCCGAAAGGCGUAGUCGAUGGGAAACAGGUUAAUAUUCCUGUACUUGGUGUUACUGCGAAGGGG
rnacentral:rRNA from 1 species